AUACUUACCUGGCAGGGGAGAUACCAUGAUCACGAAGGUGGUUCUCCCAGGGCGAGGCUCAUCCAUUGCACUCUGGCCGUGCUGACCCCUGCGAUUUCCCCAAAUGCGGGAAAGUCGACUGCAUAAUUUCUGGUAGUGGGGGACUGCGUUCGCGCUUUCCCCUG
rfam:Xenopus tropicalis strain Nigerian Chr01_contig_4641, whole genome shotgun sequence.